rnacentral:rRNA from 1 species
AUUUAGAGGAAGUAAAAGUCGUAACAAGGUUUCCGUAGGUGAACCUGCGGAAGGAUCAUUAGUGAAACGUUUGUCGAAAAGGGUUGUAGCUGGCCUCCUUUGGGGGGCAUGUGCACGCCUGGAUCGCAAAUUCCACCCUCCACACCUGUGCACAUCCUGUAGCUUUGUGAUGCUGACGAUACGGAUCCUCCGAUUCGGACGCGUCCCUGGCUGCGAGCUUUUAUUACACACACGUUUUGUCAAGUAUUAGAAUGUAACUGUAGCAGCGCGUAAAAGCGUGAAAUAUACAACUUUCAGCAACGGAUCUCUUGGCUCUCGCAUCGAUGAAGAACGCAGCGAAAUGCGAUAAGUAAUGUGAAUUGCAGAAUUCAGUGAAUCAUCGAAUCUUUGAACGCACCUUGCGCUCCUUGGUAUUCCGAGGAGCAUGCCUGUUUGAGUGUCAUGAAAUUCUCAACUGCCUUUAUGGUGAAGUUGGAUUUGGAGGAUCUUGCUGGCGCUCUUCAAUGAGCUUCGUCGGCUCCUCUCGAAUGCAUGAGCCUUCCUGUGCAACAUUGUGAAGCGACUCUGAUGUGAUAAUUAUCUACGUUGGACGUCGUGUUUGCUUUGGGCACGAACGGAUUGCAAAAACGCAGAUAUGCGUCCUUGACAAAUUCGACCUCAAAUCAGGUA